rnacentral:lncRNA from 1 species
UAAGAAUGUGCCUCCAAGAUAAGGACAAUGAGACUCAGGUCAACCAGCGACAGUGUCCUCAACUCAGGAAGAAGGAAAGAAGCAAGAACAGUAUUAGGCCUGGAGUAAACAUCCAACAAAACUACCAAUUGAUUGCUUAAUUGGACUGGAAACUGCUUUCAUUAUUUCUGGAAAUGAAUGUACGGGCUAGCAUAACAGGCCAGUGAAUGACUAAACAUUACUAACACUGAAAUUCACUUUAUGUGGGCUUUCAUGAGGACUCCCAUACCUGCUAGAGAUGAGCUUAGGCAAAACACCAUUUGGCUGAGUCAGUACUAAAUUG